ensembl:antisense 4932702P03Rik RIKEN cDNA 4932702P03 gene
CCUCGCUCUGCUUCUCCACCCGCCGUGGGAGCCGUUUUCCUCAGCCCAGCUCUGUUGAUGCUCAUUCUGGGCCCGGUCCCAAAGUAAGCUGCUCACAACGGUGGACUAGACCGGUCAGCUUUCUCCCUUGCCCCAGAACACACUUCGUUUUUUCUUAGAGGAAGAGGCUUCUAGCGCUCCCGCGUUCUGCUUUCCCAUUGCUGAAGUGACUCCCCGGAGAGCAGAGGUCUGUGGACCGCCCAACAUGUAAAGGAAAGUGCCCCUGGUAUGGACAUGCCAGAGUCUGGCUGUGCUUCCGGUUCCUCGGGAUUGGGCUUGGCCUCUGUCCUCGGGACUAUUGUAACCCUCAUCAACUGAAUCUUUCUGAACUCAUCAGCAAGCCAGGGGUUGGAGGAGGCCCUCUGAGCAGCGCUGGGGGAAUCACCCAGGGUCCUCUUUUUUUGUGGCGCUCUGGGAAGAAAGCCCCACUAGGAGCUUAGUAGCCACAGAGCAGAGUAAAGGUGGGGCUGUCUGCGCCUCUGUCAGUUGCCACUCAGAGGCGGUUCCCUGUGCAUUCUGCAGGGGCGAAACCAUCAGGUCUGGGAGCGAAGGCUGCAGGCUCCAUAUUGAGGUAGUACUUGAAGCCCACAGCCAACCCUUUCUGUCUUGAUUUGUGAAGCAGUAUCACCCUCCUGCCUUCAUCAUGUCCAGCUGGGACCUGCGAGGAACUCUGAGCCUUGAGGCCUGGGAGCUUGCCCUCUCGUCCUGGUCUCUGCUCAACCCUGGUCAAGGCUCUGCCUGGAGUUCCCACUGCUGUUGCUCCUUAAAUGAACUCUCUGGGAGUUGGGGAUGGGGAGGGAAAGCUCGUGUCAACAUUCCAAGUCUAAAUUUGAAGACAGCCGGUUUCCCCCGGGCACAGGGGACCCUGGGGGCAAAAUCUGUACGUUGAUCUCCUAACCCCCAAAUUCUAGAAUGUAGGAAGAGAUGAGCCCUUUAGGAGUGGUUCAAAAUGAAGCCGUCAGGCUGGGUCCUAAUCCAAUUUUACUGGUGUCAUAAGGUGACUAAGCCCCUCAGAGGGUUGGGGGGGGGGGCACCUAGUGGGGGAACUCCCACGAGGAACGGGCCACCUGUAGGCCCAGGAGGCGGGGUCAUACAGGACCUUUUCAUAGCUGACUAAGGCUUUGCCUUCACCAUGCAACCACUUAGGAAUUCAAUGGAGCUUUAGGAGUGACUCUAUUGUAAAGGCCAGUUUGCUUAGGUCUUUUGCAUAUUAUGCUCUAUACCGCCUAGGGAUUCUGCUAGCAAGGCCAUUGCCUUGACCUUGUACCAGAGCCAUGAGCUAAAACAAUACAACUUACCCAAGCUGUGGUAUUGUGUUAUUAGCAACCGAAAAUGCACUCAGACAAGUGUUCACAUUCGUAUUCCAGGAUCGUAUCUGGAUACCAGGGGCUCAGAAAAUGCCUUUCUCAUACUUCUCUGUAAAAAUAAAAGACUGGAGAAAGUG